GCUCAGUUGGUACAAGCAUGUGACUCUUGAUCUCAGGGUUGUGAGUUCAAGUCCCACAUUGGGCA
rnacentral:tRNA from 1 species